rnacentral:rRNA from 1 species
ACAGAAGGGAGCUUGCUCCCGGAUGUUAGCGGCGGACGGGUGAGUAACACGUGGGUAACCUGCCUGUAAGACUGGGAUAACUCCGGGAAACCGGAGCUAAUACCGGAUAGUUCCUUGAACCGCAUGGUUCAAGGAUGAAAGACGGUUUCGGCUGUCACUUACAGAUGGACCCGCGGCGCAUUAGCUAGUUGGUGGGGUAAUGGCUCACCAAGGCGACGAUGCGUAGCCGACCUGAGAGGGUGAUCGGCCACACUGGGACUGAGACACGGCCCAGACUCCUACGGGAGGCAGCAGUAGGGAAUCUUCCGCAAUGGACGAAAGUCUGACGGAGCAACGCCGCGUGAGUGAUGAAGGUUUUCGGAUCGUAAAGCUCUGUUGUUAGGGAAGAACAAGUGCGAGAGUAACUGCUCGCACCUUGACGGUACCUAACCAGAAAGCCACGGCUAACUACGUGCCAGCAGCCGCGGUAAUACGUAGGUGGCAAGCGUUGUCCGGAAUUAUUGGGCGUAAAGGGCUCGCAGGCGGUUUCUUAAGUCUGAUGUGAAAGCCCCCGGCUCAACCGGGGAGGGUCAUUGGAAACUGGGAAACUUGAGUGCAGAAGAGGAGAGUGGAAUUCCACGUGUAGCGGUGAAAUGCGUAGAGAUGUGGAGGAACACCAGUGGCGAAGGCGACUCUCUGGUCUGUAACUGACGCUGAGGAGCGAAAGCGUGGGGAGCGAACAGGAUUAGAUACCCUGGUAGUCCACGCCGUAAACGAUGAGUGCUAAGUGUUUAGGGGGGUUUCCGCCCCUUAGUGCUGCAGCUAACGCAUUAAGCACUCCGCCUGGGGGAGUACGGUCGCAAGACUGAAACUCAAAGGAAUUGACGGGGGCCCGCACAAGCGGUGGAACCAGGUGGUUUAAUUCGAAGCAACGCGAAGAACCUUACCAGGUCUUGACAUCCUCUGACAACCCUAGAGAUAGGGCUUUCCCUUCGGGGACAGAGUGACAGGUGGUGCAUGGUUGUCGUCAGCUCGUGUCGUGAGAUGUUUGGGUUAAGUCCCGCAACGAGCGCAACCCUUGAUCUUAGUUGCCAGCAUUCAGUUGGGCACUCUAAGGUGACUGCCGGUGACAAACCGGAGGAAGGUGGGGAUGACGUCAAAUCAUCAUGCCCCUUAUGACCUGGGCUACACACGUGCUACAAUGGACAGAACAAAGGGCUGCAAGACCGCAAGGUUUAGCCAAUCCCAUAAAUCUGUUCUCAGUUCGGAUCGCAGUCUGCAACUCGACUGCGUGAAGCUGGAAUCGCUAGUAAUCGCGGAUCAGCAUGCCGCGGUGAAUACGUUCCCGGGCCUUGUACACACCGCCCGUCACACCACGAGAGUUUGCAACACCCGAAGUCGGUGAGGUAAC